GGAGCGUUGCCAGGGCAAUGGAUCUGCGUCCACCCCCUGGCCUAGAAAAAGCCUCGGGGAGGGCAGCGAGGCGUCGCUUCCCAACGGAGAGGGAGAGGAGUCGGGGUGUGAGAAUCACCUGGGCUGCUUUAACGAGGAGAAACUGUAAGCCACCCAUACACGGGACUCCCCAGCAAGGACGGUUGUUAUCACUGUCAACAUGCUGGCUUUUCUAAGGACCAGGACCAUUGAGUCAGAGCACUCAUGGUCUUGCUGUAAGCUAUCCACUACUCCACACAGACAGAGUUGAAGACAAAUUCCUGCCAUAAAGCCCACUGGCAUGCAGCUCUCUGUUCAUGUGGGCUCACAAAAGCAGCAGAGGCAGUCUGCACAAACCUGAAAACCUUGAUUUGCUAUCUGGUUGCUGUGUCACAAGAAUGAAGGCCGGAGAGCACCAGCUUGUCAAAACCCGAGUCUUUUAAAACCACAUAUAUACCUUACAACUGGAGAUUCAAAUAUCCUUGAACUACUCGAUGACAUACUAUAAGAGACAAAUAAUCAUCUGGGAGUACAUUCAAUACUUUGUGCUUUUACUGUUCCUAUAAAACACGUAAAACUUCAGUUCUGAUUCCAUGCAGCCUUUCCCCAUAUGAAACAAAAAGUGUUCUCUGCCUGUAAGAGUGUAUGAUCUCAACAUGAGAUUACAGAGGUAGAAGGCAGUGCAAAAAUUAUGCCAGACAGAACAAUGGACAGAAAAAAUAUUCAUACUAAAAAUAUACAUCCACUCAAAAGUGCAAUAGACAAAGCCCCCAAAAUUUCCUCUUCUCUCUAGAGAUUAUAAAAGGGAUAUGGAGAUUUCUGAUUGAGACAUCCACUUUACAUGCAUCUAAAAUUAGAGAAAAUGAAUCUCAAAGAAUCAGAAUAGCAAAUUACUGUCAGUUCUCUCUGGGAAUAACAAAC